rnacentral:rRNA from 1 species
GGGGAAUUUUGGACAAUGGGGGCAACCCUGAUCCAGCCAUGCCGCGUGAGUGAAGAAGGCCUUCGGGUUGUAAAGCUCUUUCGGACGGAAAGAAAUCGCCGCCUCUAACAUAGGCGGUGGAUGACGGUACCGUAAGAAGAAGCACCGGCUAACUACGUGCCAGCAGCCGCGGUAAUACGUAGGGUGCGAGCGUUAAUCGGAAUUACUGGGCGUAAAGCGUGCGCAGGCGGUUUGGUAAGACAGGUGUGAAAUCCCCGGGCUUAACCUGGGAACUGCGCUUGUGACUGCCAGGCUAGAGUACGGCAGAGGGGGGUGGAAUUCUCGGUGUAGGGGUAAAAUCCGUAGAGAUCGAGAGGAAUACUCAUUGCGAAGGCGACCUGCUGGAACAUUACUGACGCUGAGGGGCGAAAGCGUGGGGAGCAAACA